UUGGAGGGCAAGUCUGGUGCCAGCAGCCGCGGUAAUUCCAGCUCCAAUAGCGUAUAUUAAAGUUGUUGCAGUUAAAAAGCUCGUAGUUGAAUUUCGGGAUCAAUGUUUCGGUCAUGCCGUUGGUAUGUACUGAUAUUAUUGGUUUCUCACCUUUUAAAGAACCGUAAUGCCAUUAAUUUGGUGUCACGGGGAAUUAGGACUGUUACCUUGAAAAAAUUAGAGUGUUUAAAGCAGGCUCACGCUUGAAUACAUUAGCAUGGAAUAAUGAAAUAGGACAUCCGAUUCUAUUUUGUUGGUUUCUAGGAUCGAUGUAAUGAUUAAUAGGGAUAGUUGGGGGCAUUAGUAUUCAAUUGUCAGAGGUGAAAUUCUUGGAUUUAUUGAAGACUAACUACUGCGAAAGCAUUUGCCAAGGAUGUUUUCAUUAAUCAAGAACGAAAGUUAGGGGAUCGAAGACGAUCAGAUACCGUCGUAGUCUUAACCAUAAACUAUGCCGACUAGGGAUCGGAUGAUGUUAAUUUUUUAAUGACUCAUUCGGCGCCUUACGGGAAAC
rnacentral:rRNA from 1 species